CUACCACAUCGUAUCUGCCUCAUGCUGAUCCACUUGCUGUCAGGAGAACAAGUCCUAUCUUGGGCAGCCCUUGUGCCUACGUUGGGCAGACUCCCGUGCCUCUGCAUGCUGCACGCCCCUCCUGCAGCCUAUGGGAGAUUGAGAGAGAGCUAAUUCCAUGCAGGUUUUGAAUAAGACCAAGCUCACGCUACUGCUGUCACAAGGCUUCCUGCACUCAAACCAGGAACUCUGGCAACAUGAAAGAAUCUUCACCCACAACUUAAGCUUGAAAAUCAUCUUGCCAGUAAUGAAUUCCUUCCUUAACCAACACUUACUUUCUGGGAAUAGUGAAACAAGUGCUUUGGCCGAGUAACGUGUUGCUGUGACUUUAGAUGAACUAGGUCUGCAAGCCCUCAAUAUGACUCACCUUCAUUUCUAUCACGUGUUCCUCUGCUGCUUUGUUCUCUGCCUUUAUCACAUUGUACACAUUUGUGGCUACCCAGAAGAUGGAUGGUGUUUGUUGUAAAACAUUUUGAACGUUUUUCAAGUGAGUUACGCCCUUUCUGUAAACUCAAUAAUAAAUUACAAUGAGUUACUAAUUACUAAUAGUGUUAAAAUACUAAAUGACGUAACGAGCAAACUGCCUUAGCCAUUUCCUGUAGGAAAUAAGCAUACAGAGUUAAUUUGCAUCCAGGAACUUAUCAAAAUAGAAGUCGUUACAGGACUGGAGCUUACGUUAGAUUGACAUUAAGAAAAGGUGAGCAUGUUGGAAGCAAAAAGAUAUAAAAUAAACAUUUUUCUAUCUGCUUCUGAGGCUUGUAAUUAACUGUGUAAAUUAAAGCAGAGCUCGUGUCUUGGUAGGAAGUGUCAGUGAGGUGGCCAAUAUCAACAAGCUAGAGGGGACAGGAUUCUCUCUGUCCCAGCAUCUGACUUUUCUGCCGUUCACACCGGGAGCAAUCUAGAAGAUUACAAAUAACUUCUAUGGGUUUGGGAGCUUUGUUUUCUAAUUAAUGUCCCAUAACUCAUGCUGUGAGUGUGUCGCGUGAAGGUCAAGCACUUGGAAAUAGGAAGACCGGCCGCUGCGGGAGGUAAAAUUAGUUCUGGUGUUUUCACUGCUACUGCCCGCGUGCGGAGACCGCCCCGGUGAGCUGCAGAUGGAACCUCAGCAACGGCAUCGGCUGCUCCAGCAGGGAUCUGCGGAGGGAAGGUUUGCCCACAGCUCCGGCCGGCCGCUUCCAGCAUCCCAAUCCGCGCUCUGACCCGCGGAUUUUACGUUCUAAACGAAAAGCUGAGGCGCAGAGGGGGACAGAAGGCAUCGGUCUGUCCGCCGUUCCGCAGCCGCGUUCCUAACCCCUAACCGCUCCCGGGUUCUGCCGCCGCGGUCGCUUCAGCGGUGCCGAGGCCGCCGUGCGAGCACGAAGCUCCACAACCAAUAGUGCAGCUUCUCGGUAACCCCCGGGCUCUUCGGGGGCUUUCCAGCGCGGUUACCCACCGGCCUUUUCCCACCGCUCCGCCUCAGCGGCUGGCGGGGCAGCGGCGCGGGGGCGGACGCCGCUGCCUUCCUGCCGUUCGCCUUCACUCCCGGCGCGGUGCGCUUUCUCCCGAGCCGAGCUUCACGCGGCCGUGAAUCAGCCCCGGCACGCGGUGGCUGACUCAGCCGGCCGGCAGCUCGCCGUAAAAAGCAGACCGUUGAACAAACGCUCUCGGUAACCGUAAUCGUACGGCGCAGACGGAAAGUCACGCACCGGGCCACUCGGUCCGCCGGUAGCGCUCACCUGCUCGGACCUCUGCAGCCCCCCGCCUACGUCCCGUUACGAAGUCCUCGGGAGGCACCGAGUCCCGGGCCGCUAAGGGAAGAGGGGAGGUGGGCGGGGUCACCUUGCGCUGACCCCCCCCACCGAGCUGCGCGCGCCGGUUACUAGGGCGACAGAGGAGCGGCCAAUCGGCGCGCCCCGCGCCCUCCCUUUCUUUCUCCCGGGUGAGCGAGCGCCAAUCAGCGGGCGUUCCGGAAGCCGGCAGAAGGCGCGCGCCCGUUCUGUGGCCCUGUUCCCCGGCCUCGCUCUAGGCAGGAGCUGAGACCCGAGAGCCAAUCGGAGCGGGGGGAAAAAGCGUGAGGUGAGCGAGCCCGCGUGCCGCUCUGCCUAUAAAAUGGGGGCCGAGCGGGGGCGCGCGGCUCAUUCGCAGUUGGCGGCGGCGGCGGAAGGUUGGCGCGAAGAGAGAUAGAGGCAGUGUGAAAGCCGCCGCGCGCGUCCGCCCCAACGUCCCUUCCCUGCCGUCGCCGCCCCCUCCCACCAUGAAGACCAAGUUCUGUAACGGCGAGGCCGACCCCUCUCCUCUCGGGCUCCUCCUGGGCUGCGGUC
ensembl:lncRNA